UCAGUCGGCCGGGCAGCCGCGUCGCUUUAAGCGCCGAGGAAAGUCCGGGCUCCACGGAGAAGCGGUGCCGGAUAACGUCCGGCGGGGGCGACCCCAGGGAAAGUGCCACAGAGAACAAACCGCCUUCGGUUUUCGGACCGGAGGUAAGGGUGAAAAGGUGCGGUAAGAGCGCACCGCGCCGCUGGCAACAGCGGCGGCACGGCAAACCCCACCGGGAGCAAAGCCAAAUAGGGAUGACGCGGCGCGAGCCGGUUCUCUCCGGACCAGUCAUCCGGGUUGGCUGCUUGAGGCGUUCGGCAACGGGCGUCCCAGAGGAAUGGCUGCCGCGCGGGGGCGACCCCGCCUUACAGAACCCGGCUUACAGGCCGGCUGAUGAC
rnacentral:RNase_P_RNA from 1 species